ACAGAAAUAUUCCACACAAAUCCUGAUAAUCUCUUUUUAUCAAACUGCUGAAUAACGAACGGUAUGGAAAUUUUACUCCAAAGCAAUGGUCAUAAAAAAAAUAAAAUAAAAACGAAUGAAAAUAAAAGUGAAUAAACAAGAUAGACAGAGAAAUUAAUCAGUCAUAUGAACUUUCCUAAAAAAUAACUAAGUCACACACACGAACAAAAAGAAAAGAAAAAGAAAAACACGACAAAAUUAAAUCAUAUUCCCUUGUUUUCCUUCUUCCUUUUCAUUACUUGCGCCAAAUGAUUAUCAAUAGGAAGUCACCUCGUUUCUCCUCCUCCUCGUUUUCUUUUCACCACACCACAUCAUCACAAAUAAGGUUUCGCUUUUUUCUCUUUCUUUUUCACUGUCUUCAGCAAGAGUUCCAAGAUUCCAGACAAUUCCAGCUGGACAAAGAAGUUCCAGACAUCACAGAACACGUGACAUUAAUAAAGGUUAUCUUUCUUUUCCUCUUUUUUUUUGUAAUUUUCUUUUCAUCACUCGCACGUUAUCGUCAAUAAAAGUUCUAUGCUUCCAGGGCUCCGGAGGUUUCCAGUUAGGCAAAUAAGAGGUAAGAAUAGGUAUCCACGGUUUCAGACAACUCCAGUUAGACAAAUAACAGGUUAAAAUAGGUAUCCACGGUUUCAGACAAUUUCAGUUAGGCAAAUAACAGGUAAAAAUCAGUAUCCAGGUUUUCCAGGUAAAGACAGAAGUGGUAAACAUCGGAGUGAAACUGAUCAGGAUUCCAGAGUUUCAUUGAGUCUCAACUGGGUAAACAAACACGAGGUAGAAAUGAAAAGUUAUUUGGCACCAGUAAACGUUCCAGGAUUCCACUUACAUAGAAAAAAAAAAAUAAA